rnacentral:rRNA from 1 species
AUUGAACGCUGGCGGCAUGCCUUACACAUGCAAGCCGAACGGUAACAGGUUAGGCUGACGAGUGGCGAACGGGUGAGUAAUAUAUCGGAACGUGCCCAGUCGUGGGGGAUAACGUAGCGAAAGCUACGCUAAUACCGCAUACGAUCUACGGAUGAAAGCGGGGGAUCGCAAGACCUCGCGCGAUUGGAGCGGCCGAUAUCAGAUUAGCUAGUUGGUGAGGUAAAGGCUCACCAAGGCGACGAUCUGUAGCUGGUCUGAGAGGACGACCAGCCACACUGGAACUGAGACACGGUCCAGACUCCUACGGGAGGCAGCAGUGGGGAAUUUUGGACAAUGGGCGCAAGCCUGAUCCAGCAAUGCCGCGUGCAGGACGAAGGCCUUCGGGUUGUAAACUGCUUUUGUACGGAGCGAAACGGUCUUCUCUAAUACAGGGGGCUAAUGACGGUACCGUAAGAAUAAGCACCGGCUAACUACGUGCCAGCCGCCGCGGUAA